GGAGCGAAGAGCUCAGUGCUAGAGUGUGUGCUUAGCAUGCAUGAGGUCCCGGGUUCAAUCCCCAGUCCCUCCA
rnacentral:tRNA from 1 species